rnacentral:rRNA from 1 species
AUAUCUGGGAAACUGCCCGAUGGAGGGGGAUAACUACUGGAAACGGUAGCUAAUACCGCAUAACGUCUUCGGACCAAAGUGGGGGACCUUCGGGCCUCACACCAUCGGAUGUGCCCAGAUGGGAUUAGCUAGUAGGUGGGGUAAUGGCUCACCUAGGCGACGAUCCCUAGCUGGUCUGAGAGGAUGACCAGCCACACUGGAACUGAGACACGGUCCAGACUCCUACGGGAGGCAGCAGUGGGGAAUAUUGCACAAUGGGCGCAAGCCUGAUGCAGCCAUGCCGCGUGUAUGAAGAAGGCCUUCGGGUUGUAAAGUACUUUCAGUGGGGAGGAAGGCGUUAAGGUUAAUAACCUUGGCGAUUGACGUUACCCGCAGAAGAAGCACCGGCUAACUCCGUGCCAGCAGCCGCGGUAAUACGGAGGGUGCAAGCGUUAAUCGGAAUUACUGGGCGUAAAGCGCACGCAGGCGGUCUGUCAAGUCGGAUGUGAAAUCCCCGGG